GGGGCAGCGGGGUAGUGCUUGCACUACUGCCGGCGACCGGCGCACGGGUGAGUAACACGUAUGGAACCUGCCCGCAGCAGGGGGAUAAGCGGAAGAAAUUCCGUCUAAUACCGCGUAACAACGUUGGGAGGCAUCUCCCGAUGUUUAAAGAUUUAUCGGCUGCGGAUGGCCAUGCGGCGCAUUAGCUAGUCGGCGGGGUAACGGCCCACCGAGGCGACGAUGCGUAGGGGUUCUGAGAGGAAGGUCCCCCACACUGGUACUGAGACACGGACCAGACUCCUACGGGAGGCAGCAGUGAGGAAUAUUGGUCAAUGGCCGAGAGGCUGAACCAGCCAAGUCGCGUGAGGGAAGACGGCCCUACGGGUUGUAAACCUCUUUUGUCGGGGAGCAAAGCGAACCACGUGUGGUUCAUUGAGAGUACCCGAAGAAAAAGCAUCGGCUAACUCCGUGCCAGCAGCCGCGGUAAUACGGAGGAUGCGAGCGUUAUCCGGAUUUAUUGGGUUUAAAGGGUGCGCAGGCGGAGGUGCAAGUCAGCGGUCAAAUUGCGGGGCUCAACCCCGUACUGCCGUUGAAACUGCAUCCCUUGAGUGCGCGAGAAGUAUGCGGAAUGCGUGGUGUAGCGGUGAAAUGCAUAGAUAUCACGCAGAACUCCGAUUGCGAAGGCAGCAUACCGGCGCGCAACUGACGCUCAUGCACGAAAGCGUGGGUAUCGAACAGGAUUAGAUACCCUGGUAGUCCACGCAGUAAACGAUGAACACUAACUGUUCGGCCAGAAUGAUGGCUGAGUGGUACAGCGAAAGCGUUAAGUGUUCCACCUGGGGAGUACGCCGGCAACGGUGAAACUCAAAGGAAUUGACGGGGGCCCGCACAAGCGGAGGAACAUGUGGUUUAAUUCGAUGAUACGCGAGGAACCUUACCCGGGCUCAAACGACACAGGAAUACUUUUGAAAGGAGGUAGCCCUACGGGGUCUGUGUCGAGGUGCUGCAUGGUUGUCGUCAGCUCGUGCCGUGAGGUGUCGGCUUAAGUGCCAUAACGAGCGCAACCCCUAUCGCCAGUUACCAUCAAGUAAAGUUGGGGACUCUGGCGAGACUGCCGGCGCAAGCUGAGAGGAAGGCGGGGAUGACGUCAAAUCAGCACGGCCCUUACGUCCGGGGCGACACACGUGUUACAAUGGCAGGUACAGAGAGAAGCCAGGUGGCGACACCGCGCGGAACUCGAAAGCCUGUCUCAGUUCGGAUCGGAGUCUGCAACCCGACUCCGUGAAGCUGGAUUCGCUAGUAAUCGCG
rnacentral:rRNA from 1 species